UACGUAGGUGGCAAGCGUUGUCCGGAUUUACUGGGCGUAAAGGGCGUGCAGGCGGUUUGUUAAGUCUAGGGUGAAAGCUCCCGGCUCAACUGGGAGAGGUCCUUGGAUACGGGCAGACUUGAGUUCGGUAGGGGAGACUGGAAUUCCUGGUGUAGCGGUGAAAUGCGCAGAUAUCAGGAGGAACACCGGUGGCGAAGGCGGGUCUCUGGGCAGUAACUGACGCUGAGGAGCGAAAGCGUGGGGAGCGAACAGG
rnacentral:rRNA from 1 species